AACGAACGCUGGCGGCAUGCCUAACACAUGCAAGUCGAACGAGACCUUCGGGUCUAGUGGCGCACGGGUGCGUAACGCGUGGGAACCUGCCCUUAGGUUCGGAAUAACUCCCCGAAAGGGGUGCUAAUACCGGAUAAUGUCUUCGGACCAAAGAUUUAUCGCCUUUGGAUGGGCCCGCGUUGGAUUAGCUAGUUGGUAGUGUAAAAGCCUACCAAGGCGACGAUCCAUAGCUGGUCUGAGAGGAUGAUCAGCCACACUGGGACUGAGACACGGCCCAGACUCCUACGGGAGGCAGCAGUGGGGAAUAUUGGACAAUGGGCGAAAGCCUGAUCCAGCAAUGCCGCGUGAGUGAUGAAGGCCUUAGGGUUGUAAAGCUCUUUUACCCGGGAUGAUAAUGACAGUACCGGGAGAAUAAGCGCCGGCUAACUCCGUG
rnacentral:rRNA from 1 species